ACGGCUCAGUAACACGUGGAUAACCUACCCUCAGAUCUGGGAUAACUCCGGGAAACUGGAGAUAAUACCGGAUAAUCCGUGAACGCUGGAAUGCCUCAUGGUUGAAAGCUUUAGCGUCUGAGGAUGGGUCUGCGGCCGAUUAGGUAGUUGCUGGGGUAACGUCCCAACAAGCCGAUAAUCGGUACGGGUUGUGAGAGCAAGAGCCCGGAGAUGGAUUCUGAGACACGAAUCCAGGUCCUACGGGGCGCAGCAGGCGCGAAAACUUUACACUGCGCGAAAGCGCGAUAAGGGGACCUCGAGUGCGUGCGCAAUGCGUACGCUUUUCAGAUGCCUAAAAAGCAUCUGGAAUAAGGGCCGGGCAAGACCGGUGCCAGCCGCCGCGGUAACACCGGCGGCUCGAGUGGUAACCGUUAUUAUUGGGUCUAAAGGGUCUGUAGCCGGCCGGGUAAGUCUCUUGGGAAAUCUGGCAGCUUAACUGUCAGGCUUUCAGGAGAUACUGCCUGGCUCGAGGCCGGGAGAGGUGAGAGGUACUUCAGGGGUAGGGGUGAAAUCUUGUAAUCCUUGAAGGACCACCAGUGGCGAAGGCGUCUCACCAGAACGGACCUGACGGCAAGGGACGAAAGCUAGGGGCACGAACCGGAUUAGAUGCCCGGGUAGUCCUAGCCGUAAACGAUACUCGCUAGGUGUCGGCCACGGUGCGACCGUUGUCGGUGCCGUAGGGAAGCCGUGAAGCGAGCCACCUGGGAAGUACGGCCGCAAGGCUGAAACUUAAAGGAAUUGGCGGGGGAGCAC
rnacentral:rRNA from 1 species